rnacentral:rRNA from 1 species
GCGCACGCUGGCGGCAGGCCUAACACCUGCAAGUCGAACGAACCUUUCGGGGUUAGUGGCGGACGGGUGAGUAACACGUGGGAACGUGCCUUUAGGUUCGGAAUAACUCAGGGAAACUUGUGCUAAUACCGAAUGUGCCCUUCGGGGGAAAGAUUUAUCGCCUUUAGAGCGGCCCGCGUCUGAUUAGCUAGUUGGUUGAGGUAAUGGCUCACCAAGGCGACGAUCAGUAGCUGGUCUGAGAGGAUGAUCAGCCACAUUGGGACUGAGACACGGCCCAAACUCCUACGGGAGGCAGCAGUGGGGAAUCUUGCGCAAUGGGCGAAAGCCUGACGCAGCCAUGCCGCGUGAAUGAUGAAGGUCUUAGGAUUGUAAAAUUCUUUCACCGGGGACGAUAAUGACGGUACCCGGAGAAGAAGCCCCGGCUAACUUCGUG